UUAAAUUUUUUAUUAAUUAAUACUAAACUAAUACUAUUUAUAAUGCAGUACUUGCUUUUUCAGGUGGAGAGGCAUAUUAGAGCUCAAUGAGAGCCCAUAACAUUAUACAGCAGUGUUGUCUUGAUUUAAUUGGGAGUUGAGCAACUUUUCCAUAAACAAAAUUGUGAUGCUGACACAGAGGAUGGAGUGAUAAUACCAGAGAUCAACUGUCUCCAUCAGACAAUAAUGUUACUUUGUUCAGACAUAUCACCUUUGAAUGACUGGGAUCCUGAUCUUCAGACACCUGAUGUAUUUUAUUUUAAUAUUAUAAAAUAGCAAAUAUUUUAAUUUCUUUGGAGCUCUAGAUUAAAACAAACACAGUUUACAAGUACACAAGAGGUUGCAGUUUAUUCUUAUUAGUCUAUGCUGAUCAUGGAUUAGCAUACCAACAGCAUAUGAAUGGGAUAGUUCACCCAAAAAUAAAAUUCUCACUUAUUUUACUCAC